UGGCAUCAAGAGGUGGGCUCGGGGCACUAGCCGGUGGUUGUGCUUCCUUGUCUGCCACGGCGAGUAGAGCCCCGGCUUCUGCUGGUAAGAUGGCAUAGGGUUGGUCUUUGUUUAAAUCUGAGCAUGGACUCCCUGCAUUUGCAUCAAAUAUAAUUGGUUUGUUAUCGUUUUCUUGGUUCUGUAUCUAUUGUUCAUUCAUGACCUUGUAGAGGUUUAAACUUACUUAAGUAUCUGGUAGCGGUGGCAGGGAACUCCGUGAUGACUCCAUCAACGCCACUCCCUGCAAUGAAUGUGGCAAGCUCAACCGUAGGGUCAGAGAAGUAGUCGAAUGUUACAGAGAUGUACUCAUUCCUUAGCACGGAAACGUAAACAGAGAUAUUCCCUUUG
rnacentral:lncRNA from 1 species